AUUGAACGCUGGCGGCAUGCUUUACACAUGCCAGUCGAACGGUAACAGGCCGCAAGGUGCUGACGAGUGGCGAACGGGUGAGUAAUGCAUCGGAACGUGCCCAGUCGUGGGGGAUAACUACUCGAAAGAGUAGCUAAUACCGCAUACGAUCUAUGGAUGAAAGCGGGGGACCGUAAGGCCUCGCGCGAUUGGAGCGGCCGAUGUCAGAUUAGGUAGUUGGUGGGGUAAAGGCUCACCAAGCCCACGAUCUGUAGCUGGUCUGAGAGGACGACCAGCCACACUGGUACUGAGACACGGCCCAGACUCCGACGGGAGGCAGCAGUGGGGAAUAUUGGACAAUGGGGGAAAGCCUGAUCCAGCCAUGCCGCGUGAGUGAAGAAGGCCUUCGGGUUGUAAAGCUCUUUUGAAGGGGACGAUGAGGACGGUAACCGUAGAAGAAGACCCGGCAAAAUUCGUG
rnacentral:rRNA from 1 species